GGAGAGAUGUCCGAGCGGUUGAAGGAGCACGCCUGGAAAGCGUGUGUACGUUAAUAGCGUACCGAGGGUUCGAAUCCCUCUCUCUCCGCCA
rnacentral:tRNA from 21 species